GACGAACGCUGGCGGCGUGCUUAACACAUGCAAGUCGAACGGAAAGGCCCUGCUUUUGUGGGGUGCUCGAGUGGCGAACGGGUGAGUAACACGUGAGUAACCUGCCCUUGACUUUGGGAUAACUUCAGGAAACUGGGGCUAAUACCGGAUAGGAGCUCCUGCUGCAUGGUGGGGGUUGGAAAGUUUCGGCUGUUGGGGAUGGACUCGCGGCUUAUCAGCUUGUUGGUGGGGUAGUGGCUUACCAAGGCUUUGACGGGUAGCCGGCCUGAGAGGGUGACCGGCCACAUUGGGACUGAGAUACGGCCCAGACUCCUACGGGAGGCAGCAGUGGGGAAUAUUGCACAAUGGGCGGAAGCCUGAUGCAGCAACGCCGCGUGCGGGAUGACGUCCUUCGGGUUGUAAACCGCUUUCGCCUGUGACGAAGCGUGAGUGACGGUAAUGGGUAAAGAAGCACCGGCUAACUACGUG
rnacentral:rRNA from 1 species